rnacentral:rRNA from 1 species
UGAGUAAUGCCUAGGAAUCUGCCUGGUAGUGGGGGACAACGUCUCGAAAGGGACGCUAAUACCGCAUACGUCCUACGGGAGAAAGCAGGGGACCUUCGGGCCUUGCGCUAUCAGAUGAGCCUAGGUCGGAUUAGCUAGUUGGUGAGGUAAUGGCUCACCAAGGCGACGAUCCGUAACUGGUCUGAGAGGAUGAUCAGUCACACUGGAACUGAGACACGGUCCAGACUCCUACGGGAGGCAGCAGUGGGGAAUAUUGGACAAUGGGCGAAAGCCUGAUCCAGCCAUGCCGCGUGUGUGAAGAAGGUCUUCGGAUUGUAAAGCACUUUAAGUUGGGAGGAAGGGUUGUAGAUUAAUACUCUGCUGUUUUGACGUUACCGACAGAAUAAGCACCGGCUAACUCUGUGCCAGCAGCCGCGGUAAUACAGAGGGUGCAAGCGUUAAUCGGAAUUACUGGGCGUAAAGCG